ensembl:lncRNA
CCAACUCGGACCCAGACAGCCCAGGGGAUCCCGAACAGGGGCAGAAGCCGUACCCGGACCCUAAAAGACUGUACCUCUGCUCAGAGUGUGGCAAGAGGUUCACCACAGCGCCUUUACUAAAGUCUCACAUGAAGUCUCACAGUGGGGAGAUACACCACCAGUGCUCCGUCUGUGGGAAGUGUUUCCUGCUGUUCCAGGACCUCAAGAGACACCGGGAGAUACACAAAGGGGGCAACAACUCUGACGCAGACA